GAUGAACGCUGGCGGCGUGCCUAAUACAUGCAAGUCGAGCGAACGGACGAGAAGCUUGCUUCUCUGAUGUUAGCGGCGGACGGGUGAGUAACACGUGGAUAACCUACCGAUAAGACUGGGAUAACGUCGGGAAACCGGAGCUAAUACAGGAUAAUAGUUUGAACCGCAUGGUUCAAAAGUGAAAGACGGUCUUGCUGUCACUUAUAGAUGGAUCCGCGCUGCAUUAGCUAGUUGGUAAGGUAACGGCCUACCAAGGCAACGAUGCAUAGCUGACCUGAGAGGGUGAUCGGUCACACUGGAACUGAGACACGGUCCAGACUCCUACGGGAGGCAGCAGUGGGGAAUCUUCCGCAAUGGGCGAAAGCCUGACCGAGCCACGCCGCGUGAGUGAUGAAGGUCUUCGGAUCGUAAAACUCUGUUAUUAGGGAAGAACAGAUGUGUAAGUAACUCUGCCCAUCUUGACGUUACCUACACAGAAAGCCCCGGCUAACUACGUG
rnacentral:rRNA from 1 species